rnacentral:sRNA from 1 species
UUUUAGCCCCGAUAGAGCCGAUAUCCUUUUUAUGGCUUUUUCUGCCAUAAAAAGAUAAAGGCGAAAGCGGGAUUAGCU